GACGAACGCUGGCGGCGUGCUUAACACAUGCAAGUCGAACGGAAAGGCCCUGCUUUUGUGGGGUGCUCGAGUGGCGAACGGGUGAGUAACACGUGAGUAACCUGCCCUUGACUUUGGGAUAACUUCAGGAAACUGGGGCUAAUACCGGAUAGGAGCUCCUGCUGCAUGGUGGGGGUUGGAAAGUUUCGGCGGUUGGGGAUGGACUAGCGGCUUAUCAGCUUGUUGGUGGGGUAGUGGCUUACCAAGGCUUUGACGGGUAGCCGGCCUGAGAGGGUGGCCGGCCACAUUGGGACUGAGAUACGGCCCAGACUCCUACGGGAGGCAGCAGUGGGGAAUAUUGCACAAUGGGCGGAAGCCUGAUGCAGCAACGCCGCGUGCGGGAUGACGGCCUUCGGGUUGUAAACCGCUUUCGCCUGUGACGAAGCGUGAGUGACGGUAAUGGGUAAAGAAGCACCGGCUAACUACGUG
rnacentral:rRNA from 1 species